GUAACAUUGUGCUUGCACAGAUGACGACCGGCGCACGGGUGCGUAACGCGUAUAGAACCUACCUUUUACAGAGGAAUAGCCUUUAGAAAUGAGGAUUAAUGCCUCAUGGUAUUGUAGACUGGCAUCAGUUUAUAAUUAAAGAUUUAUCGGUAAAAGAUGGCUAUGCGUCCUAUUAGUUAGUUGGUAAGGUAACGGCUUACCAAGACAGCGAUAGGUAGGGGUCCUGAGAGGGAGAUCCCCCACACUGGUACUGAGACACGGACCAGACUCCUACGGGAGGCAGCAGUGAGGAAUAUUGGACAAUGGAGGAGACUCUGAUCCAGCCAUGCCGCGUGUAGGAAGAAUGCCCUAUGGGUUGUAAACUACUUUUAUACAGGAAGAAACACAGGUAUGUAUACCAGCUUGACGGUACUGUAAGAAUAAGGACCGGCUAACUCCGUGCCAGCAGCCGCGGUAAUACGGAGGGUCCGAGCGUUAUCCGGAAUCAUUGGGUUUAAAGGGUCCGCAGGCGGUCGAUUAAGUCAGAGGUGAAAUCCCAUAGCUCAACUAUGGAACUGCCUUUGAUACUGGUUGACUUGAGUCAUAUGGAAGUAGAUAGAAUGUGUAGUGUAGCGGUGAAAUGCAUAGAUAUUACACAGAAUACCGAUUGCGAAGGCAGUCUACUACGUAUGUACUGACGCUGAGGGACGAAAGCGUGGGGAGCGAACAGGAUUAGAUACCCUGGUAGUCCACGCCGUAAACGAUGGAUACUAGUUGUUGGGAUUUAUCUCAGUGACUAAGCGAAAGUGAU
rnacentral:rRNA from 1 species